UCCGCCCGCUCCCUCACCCACCCCCCUCCCCUCCCCUCCCGGCUCGCGGACUCCCCGCCAAGGCCGCGCGACCCCGCCCCAGUCCGCUCGCCGUAGAACACGCACCGCCCCUUUUUACUCUUGUCGCUGCCCGUGCGCGUGCGCGGGGCCGCCCUGCCGCCUCGCCCUAGUCUUUUGCUUUCUUUUUUCUGCCCCGGGCCUCGCUCUUACGCACGGGACCACAAUGCCCCGCGCCGCUUGUCAUUUGGAGGCGCCUGGAGGUGGGGGUCUGCUCGGAAGGAAAAGAAUUCAGCCAGAGGUACAUGAACCACAGAUGUUCAUCACCCCUCCAAGACCAAGUUCGUUUUCAGCAGCCCAGAUGAGACCACCAUAAAUGAACUCUACGUUGGAUCUUGUAGUGAAGAGACCCAGUGGCUGCCAGUUACAUUUCCCUCCCAGUGAAGAUGGCAUGGAUUUCUGGAAUCUUCUAUGCUGAGCCUUCAUCAUUUUAUUGUCUUACCUCCAUGGAGGUGUUGUGAACAAAGCUCGAUUCAUUCCAAGAGCAAUGAAAAACCAAAGGUUAAGAAGACAAACACAUGGGGAAGACCAGAGAAAUGUUUUGGAAAGAUUUUUCAGAGGACAAGAGUCUCCAAGGUAAAUCAGUCAUGGGGGCUACAAAAUAUUUGUUCAAAAGAAUGUGGGAGAACAGAAAGAAAUUUCAACUACCAAAUACUGGAUUUUCUCAUUGCUUAGCCUAAUUUCCAUAUUUAUUUACAUUUGCAAGUUGUUUUUCCAGUGACUGUAAUCCCUGACCACUAUAAUUAUGAAAAAUACAGAUCCGGUUCUGUUGUGUUUUGAUUUGUUUUUGAGAAGGAAGAAGAGUGUUACUGUUUGUUCUAUUUAAUUGUAUCCAAUUUUGCUGGAAAUAUGUAGGUGGUAGAUAUGAAAUGUUUUCGUUCCUGUUUUCUUUAGGAGAUUUACUGUUUAUGAAUCUCUCUUUUUUUAAAAAUUUU